UAGGGUGGACUAUCAGCUAGUUGUUAGGUAAUGGCUUAACAAGGCUGUGACGGGUAACGGUAUUACUUUGUAAUAUUCCGGAGAAGGAGCCUGAGAGACGGCUACUAAGUCAA
rnacentral:rRNA from 1 species